AUGUUAUGUGGUGGGAUGAGGAAAGAUCCUAAGGUUGGAGGUGGUGUCGGUAGAACUAGAGAAGUUGCCAAGAACCGAACCCCAAUACUCACCAAGGUAAAUAGAUGAAUGGAGUAUGCUAGUUCGGGAGCUUUAGGAGCUUUAGACGUUGGAUUCACUAUUUAUGUUUUUGUAUCUUAAAUGACUACUUGCGGAUUUAAAUGAUUGUAAUCAUAGCUAACCAUUAGUCGGAUAUUUGUAACUGGGUGUAUGGUUAUUUCGGAGAACUAUACUUAUGGGGUCUCAUUAUCCGUGAGACAUUACGAAUAUGAAUUAUGUUUUUCUGUCAAAUCAAGUGUAGGU